rnacentral:lncRNA from 1 species
UUCUUUCCACCUUCGGCUGCCGUUAGACUUUGGACUCACUUCUGUUGUACAUGCACAAAGACCUUUAUAGUAUACGUUCAUAUGUGUGCGUGUUUACGUUUUGCACUAUUUCUCCAGCAAAUUUAUUGAUUCUAUUGAGUAAGUGGCGCAUUUAUCGCAUUCGCUUUGUCGGUUCGGUUCGACUGCAAACUCGGUUAAUUUCACUUAAACAGCAAUUAACUAAAUUGGCUUGAGCUGAGUUCAGUUCGCUAAAGUUUUCGCAAUUACCUUGCAAGGUAAUCGACUAACGGUUAAUUAGGUUAGUUUUCAUUAACCGUGAAUCGGGGUAACGAAGGUCAGCUAACAACUUGUCAAGAAAGAAGAAUUCCGUAUCGAUCAAAUAGGUAGCUCAACACAAAGAGCAUAUAGUUUAUCAAAUUGCUUUGAUGACUGGCAUAACUCACUUUCUUUAUGAUUGACAAGUGAAAAUAAUACUCCUACAUUUUCGUAUUUAAAGGUUUGACGGUACAAUACUAGAUGGAAGUAACUGAGUUUAAUAAUUUUGAGCUAACAAUAUUUAGGGAAUAAAAACUCUUGUCAACAGGUGCUACUUCAGACAGUGUAGGAAAUUGAG